CGGGUAACGGUUAAUUAGGGUUCGAUUCCGGAGAGGGAGCCUGAGACCCGGCUACCACAUCCAAGGAAGGCAGCAGGCGCGCAAAUUACCCAAUCCCGAUACGGGGAGGUAGUGACAAUAAAUACUGAUACGGGGCUCAAUUGGGUCUCGUAAUUGGAAUGAGAACAAUUUAAAUCCCUUAACGAGGAACAACCGGAGGGCAAGUCUGGUGCCAGCAGCCGCGGUAAUUCCAGCUCCAAUAGCGUAUAUUAAAGUUGUUGCAGUUAAAAAGCUCUUAGUUGAACCUUGGGUCUGGCUGGCCGGUCCGCCUCACCGCGAGUACUGGUCCGGCUGGACCUUUCCUUCCGGGGAACCUCAUGGCCUUCACUGGCUGUUUUGGGAACCAGGACUCCUACUGUGAAAAAAUUAGAGUGUUCAAAGCAGGCCUUUGCUCGAAUACAUUAGCAUGGAAUUUUAGAAUAGGACGUGUGGUUCUAUUUUGUUGGUUUCUAGGACCGCCGUAAUGAUUAAUAGGGAUAGUCGGGGGCGUCAGUAUUCAGCUGUCAGAGGUCAAAUUCUUGGAUUUGCUGAAGACUAACUACUGCGAAAGCAUUCGCCAAGGAUGUUUUCAUUAAUCAGGGAACGAAAGUUAGGGGAUCGAAGACGAUCAGAUACCGUCGUAGUCCCAACCAUAAACUAUGCCGACUAGGGAUCGGACGGGAUUCUAUAAUGACCCGUUCGGCACCUUACGAGAAAUUAAAGUUUUUGGCC
rnacentral:rRNA from 1 species